GCGCUCGUAGGCCAAUGGAUAGACCGCCGGUCUUCGGAACCGGAUGUUGAGGGUUCGAAUCCCUCCGAGCGCA
rnacentral:tRNA from 1 species